UACAGAGGUCUCAAGCGUUGUUCGGAUUCAUUGGGCGUAAAGGGUGCGUAGGUGGCGCGCUAAGUCAGGUGUGAAAUUUCGGAGCUUAACUCCGAAAACUGCAUUUGAUACUGGCGUGCUUGAGGACUGGAGAGGAGACUGGAAUUCAUGGUGUAGCAGUGAAAUGCGUAGAGAUCAUGAGGAAGACCAGUGGCGAAGGCGGGUCUCUGGACAGUUCCUGACGCUGAGGCACGAAGGUCAGGGGAGCAAACGGG
rnacentral:rRNA from 1 species